GGGUCAGUAGGUUGGUCGUGCCACCGGUACGUACUGGUCUCACUGAUUCCUCCUUCCUGAAGAACCGUAAUGCCAUUAAUUGGGUGUUGCGGGGAAACAGGACUGUUACUUUGAAAAAAUUAGAGUGUUUAAAGCAAGCUAACGCUUGAAUACAUUAGCAUGGAAUAAUGAAACAGGACGAUCGAUCCUAUUUUGUUGGUUUCUAGGAUUGACGUA
rnacentral:rRNA from 1 species